rnacentral:piRNA from 1 species
UUGGAUGCAAUAUGACACCACAGAGAGUUC